UAACAACAGGUCUUCACACUUAAUUAUAUUUUAUCUAAUUUACUUUGGAGUUUUAUCUAAAAUCUUGGGUUGUGGAUAGAAGUUUUUAUUAACGUUUAGAUCUGGUGGGAAUGUUUAAUUGGGCCUAAUUUCAGAUUAUUUUUUUGGUCUAAUGUUUUUUAUUAUUCAUUUUAAUCCUUAUUGGAAGCACACAAGGAUUGUGGAGUUUAAGCUCACAUGUAAGAGUGUUCUUUCUUCAAAUUGUUUUUGGUUGAUAAAUUUGUAAUUUUGAUCUCUCUUUGGUAAUUUGUUAUUCUUUUUUUGCUUUAACAUGUUAAAGUUUUAAUUUUGUUUCCUACUUACUAAUGCCUCUUAAAAAGAAAUUAUUUGGUGAGAAGAAUUGUUUGUUUUAUUUUUCCAUUAUCAUUAUAUUUAGUUUCUCAGCCCCAAGUUUUUAUCUUUCUGUUUUCAUUUUGUGUUUUAGAACUACCACAAAAAACAUUGUCUUUUAUUAAGUUUGAAUUAUUUUUGUUUUAUUCCUAGGGCAGGACCGUUUUGGAAAGAUGAUUUAAUGAUUUUUUUGUACCAGACUAGCUCCAAAUAAAUUAUUUAGAUGUGAGAGAUGAUAUGAUAUUUCAUUGUCAUUUGGACUUAAAAGCUUCUGUUUUUUGCACUAGUUUGUUCAAUAGUAUAUUUCUCAAUUAACCAGAUUCGUUGUUUGUAGCUAUUUGUAAACUGGAAUACAAACUAUUUUUGGUUUUUUGUUCUUUCUAUGUGUGUUGUGUCUGCUGUUCUUUUUAUUGUUGGUUUUAUCUCAAAUUUUUGCAUUAUUCUUGGCCUUUUCUAUUAGUUUUUCUAGUUUUCCAGCUGCUUUUGCUACCCCUUGUCGUUGUAUUUAAGAGUUUGUUGUUAUUUUUCUUUUGUGAGCUAUAGUUUCCAAGGACUCUGUAGUGGGUUUGGAUAGUUUCUUGGUUGUAUGAGUUGUAAUUUUCUUUUUAAUUAUGACUCCUAAUUAAAGGUCCAAUGAUGUUGAUAGUUUAUUAAUUGGUAUGUAAUUUUGCUUUCAUUUUAGUGGCUUCAUUGGAUUUCAAAUUAGAAGGAAACUUUAUUUAAAAUAGUUUGCAAGAGGUAUGUUAUUUUUUAGUUUUGUUAAAAUAUUUUGAAAAUGUUAGAGGAAUUUGAAUAUCUUAGAUAUUCAUCCAUAGUGAAGUAGGUCCUGAGAUUAUUAUUGUGUGUUGCGGUGAUAACGGAAGGUUGAGAACUUGUGUGUCUUAGUGAAGUAGGAUCUGAGAAAUUUGUGUGCUGCGGCGAGAUAAGGAAGAAAACUUGUGUUUUGUUUGAAUAUUUUAAAUUGAUAAUGGUAGAUGGUUGGUUAAUAAAUAUGGAUGUAAUGUUUUCCGAUUUUAUAUAGAACUGAGGCGUUUUCCUCAACUGAGGCGAAACACAUGUAUAGUAUUUUAGUCCUAAGUCGAGUCUUUUAAACCCUAAGAUUCAAGUCUUGCAUCACGACGUUUCACCAUGGUAGCACAAAUCUGUUAAAGCAUAAGAUAAUUAAAAAAAUUAAUAAAAAAAAGUAGUAUAAUAUGUAACUGUUAUGAAAAAAAAAUGUAAAUAGGAGAAACUUAAAAAAAAUGGCUAACAAAUAUUUAUAUGAGAUAUCAUAUGGAUAAGCCUUAAAGAUGUAUAUAUCUACAACACAUCUCUAGACAAAUUAUAUAUGAGGGUUAAAAAAAAGUAUAAUAUAAGACAUAAAAGUAGAUUAGCUAGCUAGCAAACAUAUUAUAUAUGUUUUAUAAAUAUCGUAUAUAUACACACUAAUAUAGGAAAGAAAACAUACAUAAAAAAUAAAAAUAUCUGUUGACCUAUGACUUUAAAAUGAAUACAUGACUGAGGUGUAUGCCUCAUGAGUUUUGAAAUGUAAAGGUACUGAGGCAUAAGUUUUGAAUAAAAUUUGAGAAAUGUGAGUUUCGAUACUUUUUCUUGGCGCCUUAGUACGAAACGAGUUUAAAAAAUUUUGAACAUUUUUUUAAACCAUGUUACAGAUGAAGCCAAGCAAGCAUGAUAUUGAGAAUUUGUGAAACCAAAUUCUACUUAUCAUAUAUAUAAACUCUUUCUUUCUGCUUGUUGAGUCCAUUAAAUAAAUAUAUUUUGUAUUUUUGUUUAAGUGUGUUAAAAUGGAAGUGAGCUACUCAUUGAUGUGUACUUUUUAGGUUUAUAUACAAUUCAAUUAUAUUUUGGUUGAUACAGUUAUGUAUUUACCAUUACAUAGUCUUAUCAAAAUUUUGCUUUUUGUUGGUUAGAACAGGACAAUUAAGUUGGUGAUCAUGUUGGAUAAAAAUUGGCUACGCUUCAAUAGGUAAUAAGAAUUAGGGAUUUAAUUAGUGUCAGCUUAGUAAAAUUAGUAACUUACUAUAUUUGUUACUAAUAUAUUAUAAAUAUGAACUUGUCUUUGAACUGUAGAGCCUCAGAUGAGUAUCAAGAAGGCGCUAAGAAUUUUGUAGAAAUGGCAGAAAAGCUGGCUGGCUAUCCAGAAAAGUUAUUAUGUCCAUGCAAAGUUUGUUGAAACUUAAGUCACUAAUGUAUUAGCAUUUUGUAUGAACACUUAGUCAUUUAUGGGAUUGAUCCAACAUACAAAAUCUGGUUUCAUCAUGGGGAAGAAUUAUCAAGAGAUGAUGGUAUAGAGACAAUGGGAACCUUUGAUUCUUACAACUUGUUUAGGGCUACAAAUAUUGAUGGUUAUGAUUUUGAAAGUCAUGUAGAAGGUCAUGAUGACACUUUUAUGGAAAAAAUAGAAGAUGCAGACACUCCAUUACAUCCACAAUGCACUAAAUAUACUAAGUUGUCGUCAAUUGUUGCAUUGUAUAAGCUUAAAGUUUUGUUAAGGAAAAAAAUAGUGCUGAGUUUAAGGUAUUUUAUUCUUAACAUCGUAUAACCAAAUAUAUUAAUGAUUGAAAUUUAUAGUUUAAUGUCUCUAUUAAGUUUAUAUUCUUAGGCUACAAGUGAGAAAUACAGAAAAAUACGGACAAAGCAACUACCCCACACUUGUAGUCGUAAAGGUUAUGCAAGAUUGAUUGAUGAAUUGGUAAAGCCAAAUAUAUUUACAGUUGUUUUUUGAUAGAUGAAACAUAGUGAAACCAAAACACCACCUUCUAGAGUUGAUGUUUGGAUCAAAGCACAUAAGAAGAAAAAUGGUGAACCAGUAAAUUCAGAAGUGGCUAAAGCUUUUGUAUACACCUUGCCCUUUCAAAAUCAUGUGACUUUAGUUUUAACUUGCUCAUUUGUUUGAAUACAUUUAUUGAUACUAUUUAUUUUUGAAGGAUUUGGUUGAAGAAUAUAAGAAAGAACGUGCUAUGUCUUUAACUACAAGUGUUAAUGAAGACAUCCUCACAAAAGUCCUUGGUCCUGAAAAAAAAUACAUACAUGAGAGCUUUUAGAAGAGGAGUUACUCGGUCAAAGUUGCAAAUUGUGUCAGAAAGAGAUGACCAUAUGAUAAUGACAGAGGGUCAAUGCAAAGAUUUGAAAGAUAAAAUGCAACACAUGGAGCAACUCAUUGUUUCUUUAAUGAAAAAUCAAAGUGUCAAGAACCACACAUUUGGCUCCAAAUGCAAAAUAUUAGAUUGGAUUGGAUCUGGAGAAAUUAUUGCAGAAGGCUAUUUUAUUUCAAGUGACCCAAAUGAUGAGGUUCACCAUGUUCCUCUUGGGUCUAGUGCUAUGAAAGUGGGGAUAGAUCUUGUGAGAAAGAAUGAUGCAUUUCUGUGGAGUCCUUCAACAGUUAUGUCUACUAUAGAAGAUGUUAUAGGUAGUAUAAUUGCAUGGCCAGCUGAUAAAGUCAUAAUUAAGUAAUUAACUUUUUUUAUUUACUCUUUUAGUUUACUAUUAACUUUAAGUUGAAGCAUUAAUUAUUUAAAUUUUGUUGUAGCUAAGCGAAUUGACUCACAACAAAGACAAGUGCACAAAGGAUGAUGAAUUGAAGGAUGGAGCAAGUUUCAUGCAUGGUUUACUUUUGUGUAUCUUGUAAUGUUUCUGUUUUUCAUUUUGGAAGUAAAAAAUGUCCAAGAUUAUAAAACUUGAGAAAAAAAAAUGUUUAUGUUUAAUUAUGUUAUGCUUUCAAACUUGAGUUAGAACUAAGAUCUCAUGAAGUAGACACAUUCAUGGUUUGAAUUAAUUAUUGUUUAAUGUAAUACUUAUGGUUUAUCAAUCUAUUGAGAAUUACAUUUU